rnacentral:rRNA from 1 species
AUUGAACGCUGGCGGCAGGCCUAACACAUGCAGGUCGAACGGUAGCACAGAGAGCUUGCUCUUGGGUGACGAGUGGCGGACGGGUGAGUAAUGUCUGGGAAACUGCCCGAUGGAGGGGGAUAACUACUGGAACCGGUAGCUAAUACCGCAUACCGUCUUCGGACCAAAGUGGGGGACCUCCGGGCCUCACACCAUCGGAUGGGCCCAGAUGGGAUUAGCUAGUAGGUGGGGUAAUGGCUUACCUAGGCGACGAUCCCUAGCUGGUCUGAGAGGAUGACCAGCCACACUGGAACUGAGACACGGUCCAGACUCCUACGGGAGGCAGCAGUGGGGAAUAUUGCACAAUGGGCGCAAGCCUGAUGCAGCCAUGCCGCGUGUAUGAAGAAGGCCUUCGGGUUGUAAAGUACUUUCAGCGGGGAGGAAGGCGAUGAGGUUAAUAACCGCAUCGAUUGACGUUACCCGCAGAAGAAGCACCGGCUAACUCCGUGCCAGCCGCCGCCGUAA